AACGAACGCUGGCGGCAUGCCUAACACAUGCAAGUCGAACGAGAACUUCGGGCCUAGUGGCGCACGGGUGCGUAAAGCGUGGGAACAUGCGCUUAGGAUCGGAAUUACACCUUGAGAGAGGUGCUAAUAACGGGUACUGAUAUCGGACAUAAGAAUCAUCGGCUUUGGGUGGGCCCGCGUUGGAUUGCCGAGUUGGUAGGGGACAAGCCCGCCCAGGUGACGAGGCAUAGCUGGUCUGAGCGGAUGACCAGCUACGCUGGGACUGAGACACGGCCCAGUCUCCGACGGGAGGCAGCAGUGGGGAAUACUAGACGAGGGGCGAUAGCCUGAUCCAGCAACGCCGGGGGAGUGAUGAAGGCCGUAGUGUUGUAAAGCUCUCUUACCCGAGAUGAUAAUGACGGUACCGGGAGAAGAAGCUCCGGCUAACUCCGUG
rnacentral:rRNA from 1 species